GUAAGAACAGGUUUUACGUAAGAAAUGCCUGUAGACAGGGAAAAUCACUGACUUGGGUCCAGCUCUACCAAAUGCCUUGGGGUGUGAGCAGCCAAAGGCAACAGACUCC